rnacentral:rRNA from 1 species
UACGUAGGGGGCAAGCGUUGUCCGGAAUCAUUGGGCGUAAAGCGCGUGUAGGCGGCCCGGUAAGUCCGCUGUAAAAGUCCAGGGCUCAACCCUGGAAGGCCGGUGGAUACUGUCGGGCUCGAGUCCGGAAGAGGCGAGUGGAAUUCCUGGUGUAGCGGUGAAAUGCGCAGAUAUCAGGAGGAACACCAAUGGCGAAGGCAGCUCGCUGGGACGGUACUGACGCUGAGACGCGAAAGCGUGGGGAGCGAACAGG